UACGGAGGGUGCAAGCGUUAUCCGGAUUCACUGGGUUUAAAGGGUGCGUAGGUGGGCAAGUAAGUCAGUGGUGAAAUCUCCGGGCUUAACCCGGAAACUGCCAUUGAUACUAUUUGUCUUGAAUACUGUGGAGGUCAGCGGAAUAUGUCAUGUAGCGGUGAAAUGCUUAGAUAUGACAUAGAACACCAAUUGCGAAAGCAGCUGGCUAGACAAAUAUUGACACUGAGGCACGAAAGCGUGGGGAUCAAACAGG
rnacentral:rRNA from 1 species